rnacentral:rRNA from 1 species
GACGAACGCUGGCGGCGCGCUUAACACAUGCAAGUCGAACGGAAAGGCCUGCUUUCCCUUGUGGAUUGCGGGUACUCGAGUGGCGAACGGGUGAGUAACACGUGAGUGAUCUGCCCCCAACUUGGGUAUAAGCCUGGGAAACUGGGUCUAAUUCCCGAUAGGACUGCAGGGUGGUGCCUGUGGUGGAAAACGAUUUUCUAGUGGUUGGGGAUGAGCUGGCGGCCUAUCAGCUUGUUGGUGGGGUAAUGGCCUACCAAGGCGGCGACGGGUAGCCGGCCUGGGAGGGUGGACGGCCACAGUGGGACUGGGAUACGGCCCAGAAGCCGACGGGAGGCAGCAGUGGGGAAGAUUGCGCGAUGGGCGGAAGCCUGAUGCAGCGACGCCGCGUGGGGGAUGACGGGCUUCGGGUGGUAAACUCCUUUCGACCGCGAGGAAGCCACCUGGUUGGAAGGGUGGUGACGGUAGUGGUAGAAGAAGCACCGGCUAACUACGUG